rnacentral:rRNA from 1 species
ACUCCUACGGGAGGCAGCAGUGGGGAAUCUUAGACAAUGGGGAAGCCCAUCGAUCUAGCCAUGCCGCGUGAGCGAUGAAGGCCUUAGGGUUGUAAAGCUCUUUCAGCUAGGGAAGAUUAAUGACGGUGACCAGCAGAAGAAGCCCGCUAACUCCGUGCCAGCAGCCGCGGUAAUACGGAGGGGCGUAGCGUUGUUCGGAAUUACUGGGCGUAAAGCGCACGUAGGC